rnacentral:rRNA from 1 species
GUGGCAGACGGGUGAGUAAUGCAUAGGAAUCUACCUAGUAGUAUGGGAUAGCCACUAGAAAUGGUGGGUAAUACUGUAUAAUCCCUGCGGGGGAAAGAUUUAUCGCUAUUAGAUGAGCCUAUGUUAGAUUAGCUAGUUGGUAGGGUAAAGGCCUACCAAGGCGAUGAUCUAUAGCUGGUCUGAGAGGAUGAUCAGCCACACUGGAACUGAGAUACGGUCCAGACUCCUACGGGAGGCAGCAGUGGGGAAUAUUGGACAAUGGGCGCAAGCCUGAUCCAGCUAUGCCGCGUGAGUGAGGAAGGCCUUAGGGUUGUAAAACUCUUUCAGUAGGGAAGAUAAUGACGGUACCUA